UAUGUAUAGAAACAUGUACGAAAAUGAUUAAAGGCUUGCUCCCGGCCUGAACAUUUGCUGACAGCGCUUCUGACGGCUGUCAAAUAAAUAUUCUCUUAAAACUAAAUAACAAAAACAAUUCGAAUGUGUCUGCUUUGCAAUGAUUUCAUUCAUCAAUACGUUGUCGUGGUUGGGGAGUUUCUCAACGAAUCUCUUUUGGAUGUUUAGGGCGUAUAGACAGAUUGGUUCUAUUCCUGAAUUGCUAUAUAUGAUUUUUCGUUCGAAGAUCUCCAAUUCCUUCAUGACCGAUGGCGAGAUGGAAAACCAAAUUGGAAAUCCAUACAGCAGAAUUGGACGAAUGGCUGCCUUGUAUAGUAGGAGUUUAGUCUUUUGUGAUCGAACGUGUGAAUUAAAUUUAAGCAGCAUACUAAAUGUUACUCCAAGGUACUGCAUGUUUGCUUUAAAAGGGAUUUCCACACCUUCUAACGCCGUUCGUAGCAGCUUACUUUCCGGUACCACAUGUUUUGGACAUUUUCCCGAUGCGUUCCUUAUGCAGAUAGCUUGAGACUUGGCAGCAUUAAUGCAUAUACCCCAUUUUUUAUAAUAUUGGUGUAUUAUAAAUAAGUGCUCCUCUACGUGACGUAGUGCAUACUCCGGUGAAGCAUUAUGUGCAUAAAUUAGACAAUCGUCAGCAUAGAGAAUUGCUUUUGAAUGAGAUGUUGAGUGAGGAAAGUCAUUUAGAAAUGUGUUGAACAGAAAAGGUGCUAAGACACUCCCUUGAGGAACCCCACUGUUAACUGAACCUUGGAUUGACUUGUCGUUUCUUAUUUGUACAAAGAAUUUACGAUCGGAAAGGUAAUUUUGUAUUAUUUUGAUUAAAAAUGGGUCCACACCCAG
rnacentral:sRNA from 1 species